GACGAACGCUGGCGGCGUGCCUAAUACAUGCAAGUCGAACGCAGUGGGGACGGGUGAGUAACACGUGGGUAACCUCCCAUCAGAGGGGAUAACACUUGGAAACAGGUGCUAAACCGAUACUGAUGGAUGGACCCGCGGUGGAGUAGCUAGUUGGUGAGGUAACGGCGCACCAAGGCCACGAUGCAUAGACGGUCUGAGAGGGUGAUCGGCCACACUGGGAGUGAGACACGGCCCAGACUCCUACGGGAGGCAGCAGUAGGGAAUCUUGGGCAAUGGGCGAAAGUCUGACCGAGCAACGCCGCGUGAGUGAAGAAGGUUUUCGGGUCGUAAAGCACUGUUGUUAGAGAAGCGGUAUCUAACCAGAAAGCCACGGCUAACUACGUGCCAGCAGCCGCGGUAAUUC
rnacentral:rRNA from 1 species